AGACAAUAAAUCAUUAAGGAUUAACAUUUUUUGACAGCAACUCACAGAAUUUUAAUGAUAGGCAAUGUAUUCUUCACAUAUAAAAUAUCAUAUUUAGCCUCAAAACCUCAAAUCAAAUUAUUUCCAUCUUUUGAAAGGAUGAAAUGGGAUGUUGAUGGCUUGGAAGCAGUCUUUUGUAAACUUUAAAGUUCUAGAUUAUUGUGAGUUAAGUAUAAAUAUCAGGAAGAAGACAUUAUGUAUUCAGUUUUGUGUCUGAGUCUCAGCCUAAUCCCCCAUAGUUAUGGAGUAGGGUAAGAACUGUAUGUCAAUUUGGAAUCAGACUCUCUGUUUUGAGCCAUUUAAUUUAGACACAUUAUUUUAAUGUAAGCGCUUUUGCUUUUUCUUUGGCAGUCGGUGUGCAAUUUUAAUUAGCACUUGGAACCCAGUAGAAUACAUUGAUGAG
rnacentral:lncRNA from 1 species